ACGAACGCUGGCGGCGUGCUUAACACCUGCAAGUCGAACGGAAAGGCCCUGCUUGCAGGGUACUCGAGUGGCGAACGGGUGAGUAACACGUGGGUGAUCUGCCCUGCACUUCGGGAUAAGCCUGGGAAACUGGGUCUAAUACCGGAUAGGAGCCAUUUUUAGUGUGAUGGUUGGAAAGUUUUUUCGGUGUAGGAUGAGCUCGCGGCCUAUCAGCUUGUUGGUGGGGUAAUGGCCUACCAAGGCGGCGACGGGUAGCCGGCCUGAGAGGGUGGACGGCCACAUUGGGACUGAGAUACGGCCCAGACUCCUACGGGAGGCAGCAGUGGGGAAUAUUGCACAAUGGGCGCAAGCCUGAUGCAGCGACGCCGCGUGGGGGAUGACGGCCUUCGGGUUGUAAACUCCUUUCGCUAGGGACGAAGCUUUUUGUGACGGUACCUAGAUAAGAAGCACCGGCUAACUACGUG
rnacentral:rRNA from 1 species